rfam:Candidatus Abawacabacteria bacterium RIFCSPHIGHO2_01_FTLL_46_8 rifcsphigho2_01_scaffold_30685, whole genome shotgun sequence.
CUUUCAAAGAGUUUGAUCCUGGCUCAGGAUUAACGCUGGCGGUGCGCCUAAUACAUGCAAGUCGAGCGCUCCAGCUUGCUGGAGAGCGGCGGACUGGUGAGUAACAGGUAGGGACCUGCCCUAAAGUGAGGGAUAACUUCGAGAAAUCGAGGCUAAUACCGCAUAUGGCCUUCGGGUUAAAGCAGCAAUGCGCUUUAGGAGGGACCUGCCUACUAUCAGCUUGUUGGUGGGGUAACGGCCUACCAAGGCUAUGACGGUUAGUUGGUCUGAGAGGAUGACCAGCCACACCGGGACUGAGAUACGGCCCGGACUCCUACGGGAGGCAGCAGUAGGGAAUCUUCCGCAAUGGGCGAAAGCCUGACGGAGCGACACCGCGUGCAGGAUGAAGGUCUUCGGAUCGUAAACUGCUUUUCUUUGGGAAUAAGUUCUGAAGGU